UACGUAGGGUGCGAGCGUUAAUCGGAAUUACUGGGCGUAAAGCGUGCGUAGGCGGUCCGCAAAGUCUGAUGUGAAAGCCCCGGGCUCAACCUGGGAACUGCAUUGGAAACUAACGGGCUCGAGUGUGCAGAGGGGGGUGGAAUUCCACGUGUAGCAGUGAAAUGCGUAGAGAUGUGGAGGAACACCGAUGGCGAAGGCAGCCCCCUGGGCUAACACUGACGCUCAGGCACGAAAGCGUGGGGAGCAAACAGG
rnacentral:rRNA from 1 species